rnacentral:rRNA from 1 species
AGUGGCAGACGGGUGAGUAACAUGUGGGGAUCUACCCUUUGGCGUGGAAUAACAGCAGGAAACUUGUGCUAAUACCGGAUAAGUCUUUAGUGAGAAAGCUUUAUGCACCAUUGGAGGAGCCCGCACUUGAUUAGUUUGUUGGGAGGGUAAUGGCCUACCAAGACUAUGAUCAAUAUCUGAUUUGAGAGGAUGAUCAGCCCCAUUGUGACUGAGACACGGCCCAAACUACUACGGGAGGCAGCAGUGGGGAAUCUUGCACAAUGGAGGAAACUCUGAUGCAGCGAUGCCGCGUGAGUGAAGAAGGCCUUUGGGUUGUAAAGCUCUUUCGUCGGGGAAGAAAAUGACUGUACCCGAAUAAGAAGGUCCGGCUAACUUCGUGCCAGCAGCCGCGGUAAUACGAGGGGACCUAGCGUAGUUCGGAAUUACUGGGCUUAAAGAGUUCGUAGGUGGUUGAAAAAGUUGGUGGUGAAAUCCCAGAGCUUAACUCUGGAACUGCCAUCAAAACUUUUCAGCUAGAGUAUGAUAGAGGAAAGCAGAAUUUCUAGUGUAGAGGUGAAAUUCGUAGAUAUUAGAAAGAAUACCAAUUGCGAAAGCAGCUUUCUGGAUCAUUACUGACACUGAGGAACGAAGCAUGGUAGCGAAGAGGAUUAGAUACCCUCGUAGUCCAUGCCGA